UUUUAGUAUAUCCUCGUUAGAUUUAGUAAGUUAAUAAGGCAUAGCAAUAUAAGACAGCCUCCCCUUGUAAAGAAAUCACUAUACAAUUUCUCUGACCUAUUAAGACACGUUCAAUACAGGAUUUAAAUGAUGGAAAACCUUAUUCAUUGUCUAUCUCACAUAUUUUAGUAUAUCCUCGUUAGAUUUAGUAAGUUAAUAAGGCAUAGCAAUAUAAGACAGCCUUCCCUUAUAAAGAAAUCACUAUACAAUUUCUCUGACCUAUUAAGACACGUUCAGUACAGGAUUUAAAUGAUGGAAAACCUUAUUAAUUUCCUACCUCACUUUUUUUUUAGUAUAUGAUCGUGUGUUUGAGGUUUAUUAAUACAUUUGUAGCUUCUCUAUUACCUGUUCAAAUCAUAUACGUUAAUGUACCUGGGCUAAUUCUGAUACUUAACACCUGUAUGUCAUUUUAAAUAGGAGUUUGCAUAAGUGUAUGUUAUUUAAUUAGUUUGUUCGUUUGUACCUAUUUUUUUCUUUAACUGAUAUAUAUUAAUUUUGUCUUUCUUCUUUUCUCCCAUUUUUUUUCUUUCUGUCUGUCUAUCUAUCUAUCUUUCUCUUUAUUUCCUAUUCUCUCUCUCUCUCUCUCUCUCUCUCUCUCUCUCUCUCUCUCUCUCUCUCUCUCUCUCUCUGACUUACUCUUUUCUCUCUCUUUUCUUUCUCGCUUUCAAAAUUCAUUCUUUACUUUCUUAAUCGUUUUCUCUCUUCAUUCCUUUUCUUUUCUCUCUCUCUCUCUCUCUCUCUCUCUCUCUCUCUCUCUCUCUCUCUCUCUCUCUCUCUGGUUCACUCUUUUCUUUCCCUCUCUUUUCUUUCUGACUUUUCAAACUCCAUUCUUUCCUUUCAUUCCGUUUUCUUUUCAACCUGUUUCUUUACCUCUCUCUCUCUCUCUCUCUCUCUCUCUCUCUCUCUCUCUCUCUCUCUCUCA